rnacentral:rRNA from 1 species
GUGGGGAAUUUUGCACAAUGGGCGAAAGCCUGAUGCAGCAACGCCGCGUGAGUGAUGAAGGCCUUCGGGUUGUAAAUCUCUGUCGCCUGGGAAAAAAGGCGCCUCUCAUAACAAGUGAGGCGAGUGAUGGUACCAGGAGAGGAAGAGGCGGCUAACUCUGUGCCAGCAGCCGCGGUAAUACAGAGGCCUCGAGCGUUGUUCGGAAUUACUGGGCGUAAAGGGAAUGUAGGUGGUCUUGUAAGUCAGAUGUGAAAGCCCUGGGCUCAACCCGGGAACUGCAUUUGAUACUGCAAGGCUUGAGUGCAGGAGAGAAGAGCGGAAUUUCUAGUGUAGGAGUGAAAUCCGUAGAUAUUAGAAGGAAUACCGAUGGCGAAGGCAGCUCUUUGGCCUGUAACUGACACUGAGAUUCGAAAGCAUGGGUAGCAAACAGGAUUAGAAACCCCAGUAGUCC